rnacentral:misc_RNA from 1 species
AAGUCGUAACAAGGUUUCCGUAGGUGAACCUGCGGAAGGAUCAUUAAUGAAUUUCAUCUCCCUUUUUUCGAUUCCUGUGAACCGUAAAUUUUUAACCCUGUUAUACGAAUGUGAAAUCAUAAUAAUACAACUUUUAGCAACGGAUCUCUUGGCUCUC